GACGAACGCUGGCGGCGUGCUUAACACAUGCAAGUCGAACGGUGAACCGGGCUUCGGCCCGGGGAUCAGUGGCGAACGGGUGCGUAACGCGUGGGCAACCUGCCUCAGACACUGGGAUAACCCCGGGAAACCGGGGCGUAAUACCGGAUACUCCGACCGGACUGCAUGAUCCGGUCGGGAAAGCUCCGACGGUCUGAGAUGGGCCCGCGGCC
rnacentral:rRNA from 1 species